CAAAAACAUGAUUCCUGGGACGGCAGGAGGGAUUCUUUGGCGGAGGAGACUGAGGGUGUAGUCAGCAACUUGCUGUGGGGUGGCCCUGUCCUUGCACUCAGCUCCAGGGGUGACCAUGCUGGGCUUCAACAAGAUACCUUCAAACAUGACAUUGUUCUGGGCAAGGUAGAAGAAAACUUCAGCCCACACCUGCUUGGCGACUUCAAAGGUCCUAUCAAUGUUGUGUUCACCAUCAAGUAAGAUCUCUGGCUCAACGAUGGGUACCAACCCAUUGUCCUGAGAAAUAGCAGCGUAGCGAGCAAGACCCCAGGCUGCUUCCUUCACUGCAAGUGCUGAAGGACCAUUAGGGAUGCUCACAACAGUACGCCAUUUGGCAAACCGGGCGCCUUGUUGGUAGUAAGCAGCAGAGCGAGAGGCAAGGCCAUCAAGACCUUGG
rnacentral:misc_RNA from 1 species